GACGAACGCUGGCGGCGUGCUUAACACAUGCAAGUCGAGCGGAAAGGCCCUUCGGGGUACUCGAGCGGCGAACGGGUGAGUAACACGUGAGUAACCUGCCCCAGACUUUGGGAUAACCCUCGGAAACGGGGGCUAAUACCGGAUACGACACAGCUUCGCAUGGGGUCUGUGUGGAAAGUUUUUCGGUUUGGGAUGGGCUCGCGGCCUAUCAGCUUGUUGGUGGGGUGAUGGCCUACCAAGGCGACGACGGGAAGCCGGCCUGAGAGGGCGACCGGCCACACUGGGACUGAGACACGGCCCAGACUCCUACGGGAGGCAGCAGUGGGGAAUAUUGCACAAUGGGCGGAAGCCUGAUGCAGCGACGCCGCGUGAGGGAUGACGGCCUUCGGGUUGUAAACCUCUUUCAGCAGGGACGAAGCGUAAGUGACGGUACCUGCAGAAGAAGCGCCGGCCAACUACGUG
rnacentral:rRNA from 1 species